UACGUAGGGGGCAAGCGUUGUCCGGAAUCAUUGGGCGUAAAGCGCGCGUAGGCGGCCCGGUAAGUCCGCUCUGAAAGUCCAGGGCUUAACCCUGGAAAGCGGGUGGAUACUGCCGGGCUUGAAUCCGGAAGAGGCGAGUGGAAUUCCUGGUGUAGCGGUGGAAUGCGCAGAUAUCAGGAGGAAUACCAAUAGCGAAGGCAGCUCGCUGGGACGGUAUUGACGCUAAGGCGCGAAAGCGUGGGGAGCAAACAGG
rnacentral:rRNA from 1 species